GCCCUGCCCAACCCAGCCCAGCCCUACCCAGCCGCCGCUGCCGCUGCUGCGGGGAGAGGCGAGCCGAGGGCCGGGGGCGCAGGAAGACGCCCAGCCGAGAGGCAGCGCCAGCCAAGUGGGCGGAUUCCCCCCUAAAAGCGCCGCCGAGCGAAGCCGGCCCCGAGCAGCCAGGCACUUAGCCAAGUGGAGCCGGGAAGCCGCCGCGGCCACAGGCGAAGAAGCUGCGGCCGCGAAAUGCCGCUGCCCGGAGCGCCGCCGACCCGCGGGCGGAUUAGCAGCAGUCCCCGCCGCCGUCGCCGCCGCCCACUGCUGUGAGCGCUGGAUCGGGACCGGCCGCGGCGCCUCCGCGCCUCCAAGAUGCUUCGCCAAGGGCAAUGCCUGGAGCUCUGCCUGUUCCUGCUGGGUGUGGUGAUCCCAGCCUUUGAGGGCUGCCCCAGCGACUGUGUCUGCUACCCAUCGCCCAUGACAGUCAGCUGCCAGUCACACAACUUCCUGACGAUCCCAGAGGGGAUCCCAGCGGAUAGCGAGCGCAUCUUCCUGCAGAACAACCAGAUCUCGCUGCUGCUGCGUGGCCACUUCAGCCCCUCCAUCGUCACCCUCUGGAUCUACUCCAACAACCUGACCUUCAUUGACCCUGAGGCCUUCCGCGGCUUCAGCCGCCUGGAGGAGCUGGACCUAGGCGACAACCGGCACCUGAGGGAGCUGGCGGCCGAGACCUUCCAGGGGCUGGUCCACCUGCAUGCGCUGCACCUGUACAAGUGCGGCCUGAGUGCCCUGCCCAGCGGGCUCUUCAGGGGCCUGCACAACCUGCAGUACCUCUACCUGCAGGACAACCACCUCGGCUACCUGCAGGAGGACCUCUUUGUGGACCUAGUCAACCUGAGCCACCUGUUCCUGCAUGGCAACCAGCUCCGGAGCCUCCAGCCCAACUCCUUCCGGGGCCUGGUCAGCCUGGACCGACUGCUGCUGCACCAGAACCGGCUACAGAGCAUCCCCCAGCUGGCCUUCCAUGACCUCCGCCAGCUGACCCUCCUCUUCCUCUUCAACAACAGCCUCUCCGAGCUGCAGGGGGAGGCCCUGGCACCCCUGGCCGCCCUGGAAUACCUGCGCCUGAAUGGGAACCCCUGGAGCUGCGACUGCCGGGCCCGCUCGCUCUGGGACUGGCUGCGCCGCUUCCGGGGCUCCAGCUCCUCCGUCCCCUGCGAGGUACCCCAGCACUUCCAUGGCCGGGACCUGAAGGAGCUGCCGGCUGACACCUUCCGGAGCUGCUCGGCCUCGGAGUCUCUGCACCAGACCCACGGGCCCCGGCUGCCCCCCAGGGACCACCCACCCCUCCUCUCUUCCACAGAACAGGGGGAGGGCGCAGCAGGGGGCUACGGCAUCCAGUCUGGGCAGCGCCCCGGAUCCCGCAAGACCCUCAAGAACUGCACCAAGAGCCGCAACCGGAGCAGCCGGCCAGCCUCUCUGGGCCCCUGGAAGAGUGCUGAGGAGGCGCAGGACCUGAAACACCAGCCCAAUCUGGGCCUGCUGCCUAAGCCGAAGGGCAAGUGCCAUCGGGCCCCCGUGCUUCCCCCAAGUGGAGUCCAGCAGGCUGCGGGAGGGGGCCGGAGCUCAGGGGGCCAGGCCACACUGACCCUCCGUGCUGCUGUUCUCAUCUGGACCCUGGCCUUAGUAGUGAUCUUCCGCUGACUGGUCUCGCUUGGAGCCAUGCUGACCCUCCGCUCUUGAGCACCAGGGUGUACUCUUUUUCCCUCCGGGGAGGGCUCGGCCAUGUGGGGCAGCCCCUGCCACCGGCCUCCCCCCAGCCCAGUCGGCUACUGUCUAUGGCUAACCAGGCCUGGGAUUGCUCGGUUGGGAUUGCCCUGCACCCCGUGUGCAAGUGGAAUGGGGGGUUAGGAGCCUUGCCAGCCCCCACCUGGUGCCCCAGCUGAGCUCCCAGUAAGGCAAGGACAUCCCUGCCCCUCCCCAGCCGGCCUGGAGGGGCUCAUCCUGAGCAGGGCGGCAGGCUCUGCCCCUCCCUGGCCUGUCCACUCUCGGCCUGAGGAGACCAAGCGAGGCCCCAGAGACACCAGAGGAGGCCCCAGCCACAGCUGCCCAGCCUCCCCCCUGGACCAGCCGGAAGGACACUAGCUGCUCUUUUGGCUUCAGUAGGCCAGGGCUCCCAACGGAUGGGAGGACCUCCAUCUCCUCCUUGAUCAGGAUGCACCUUCAGCCCUGGCACGAAAGACCAGCUGCCAGCCGGAUCCUCCCAGACCACAGAAAGUCAGGCGGGCUGACUGGGCAGAGUGGGAACCUCAAAACACUCUUGAGCAAAACACUGGAUGCUUCCCAACCCACCCACAGCAAACGGGACCCUUGCCACGAGAGGGAAUAAAGCCUCUUCAUGAAACAGCCAUGGCUGCUGCCUCCGGGGAGGAGAGGGCUCCUGUUUCUGCACUCCUGAGAAGCCGGGGAGAUGGGACU